UGGACAAAACAUCUACAAUGUCUUUUGUGAGACUGCUUUCCCAGCGUUUAACCUACAUUCCACUAAGAACAAUAGGUUAACAUCGUCCUGGCCAGCAAUGUGAACCAAGAGAUGGAGUUUCACAAGGAACUACAGGCAACUGAGGAAAGUCGGAAGUGAGAGAGGUGGUCUUCCCUAGAGAACGGCAUACCAAUUGCCUGUGCAGUGCCAAAUGGCUGCCCUUGACAACAAACAUGCAUGUGAUUUCUAAAUAUCAAAGUACAUAGCUGAAGAAAACAAUUUUGCCUUACUGUCAAUUCACAUUCCCCUUUUCUGGUUUUCUUUAAAGUGACUUUGAAAAAAUUCUUCACAAA